rnacentral:rRNA from 1 species
UACGGAGGAUCCCAAGCGUUAUCCGGAUUCAUUGGGUUUAAAGGGUGCGUAGGCGGAACGAUAAGUCAGUGGUGAAAGCCCUCAGCUUAACUGAGGAACUGCCAUUGAUACUGUCGACCUUGAGUACAUUUGAUGUGGGCGGAAUGUGUCAUGUAGCGGUGAAAUGCUUAGAUAUGCGGAGGAACACCGAUGGCGAAGGCAGCUCACUACGGGGUUAUUGACACUGAGGCACGAAAGCGUGGGGAUCAAACAGGAUUAGAUACCCGAGUAGU